UACGAAGGGGGCUAGCGUUGUUCGGAAUUACUGGGCGUAAAGGGCGCGUAGGCGGUGUGUCAAGUCAGGCGUGAAAGCCCCGGGCUCAACCUGGGAACAGCGCUUGAGACUGGCACGCUCGAGUUCGGGAGAGGAUGGUGGAAUUCCCAGUGUAGAGGUGAAAUUCGUAGAUAUUGGGAAGAACACCGAUGGCGAAGGCAGCCAUCUGGACCGACACUGACGCUGAGGCGCGAAAGCGUGAGGAGCAAACAGG
rnacentral:rRNA from 1 species